GAUGAAGAACGUAGCGAAAUGCGAUAAGUAAUGUGAAUUGCAGAAUUCCGUGAAUCAUCGAAUCUUUGAACGCACAUUGCGCCCGCCAGUAUUCUGGCGGGCAUGCCUGUUCGAGCGUCAUUUCAACCAUCAAGCCCCGGGCUUGUGUUGGGGACCUGCGGCUGCCGCAGGCCCUGAAAAGCAGUGGCGGGCUCGCUGUCACACCGAGCGUAGUAGCAUACAUCUCGCUCUGGGCGUGCUGCGGGUUCCGGCCGUUAAACCACCUUUUAACCCAAGGUUGACCUCGGAUCAGGUAGGAAGACCCGCUGAACUUAAGCAUAUCAAUAAGCGGAGGA
rnacentral:misc_RNA from 1 species